AAUCCAUAGGUUAAUGAGGCGAACCGGGGGAACUGAAACAUCUAAGUACCCCGAGGAAAAGAAAUCAACCGAGAUUCCCCCAGUAGCGGCGAGCGAACGGGGAGGAGCCCAGAGCCUGAAUCAGCAUGUGUGUUAGUGGAAGCGUCUGGAAAGGCGCGCGAUACAGGGUGACAGCCCCGUACACAAAAGCGCAUGUGCUGUGAGCUCGAUGAGUAGGGCGGGACACGUGGUAUCCUGUCUGAAUAUGGGGGGACCAUCCUCCAAGGCUAAAUACUCCUGACUGACCGAUAGUGAACCAGUACCGUGAGGGAAAGGCGAAAAGAACCCCGGCGAGGGGAGUGAAAAAGAACCUGAAACCGUGUACGUA
rnacentral:rRNA from 4 species